GACCAAGGGAGAGCCCGGACAGGAUUGGACUUCGCUCCUAUAAGAAGGAAGGGUCCUCGGCCGUAUCUUCCAUCAGGUUAUGUGCUUGGACAUGUAUAUCUUUCAAAUUCCGGACUACUUGGACCAGAAAAACAUCAUGUCGCUUCGAGAUCGCUGGAGGAAGAAGAACAUCCGGCAAACCGUUCAAUAUCACCACGCAGAGCAGAAGGUACUGCCCUCUAGGCAGCAACUCUUGAAUUCAAUGGCGAAAACUUCUAUCAGGAUGGGGACCCUCUAGGCGGGAGAGCAUGGACCCAACAACAAGGACAUUGAUCAUGAUGGAUUCAAUCAGACUGCUCGAUCAUUGGAUGACAUAAUAUGCUUAGGAUGUGGGUUAACACAGAGUUAACUACCCAUGGAGGUUUGAGGAAGAGCUCUCUGGGCGAAUUCUUGGUGGGCUUAGCCGGCGAACGACACAGGUACUCUGGCAAAGUCGAGCUGGCGGCUAGACUUAGCCAAAAGGAGCGCUCUGGAGGUCAUGGGCGGCAAGGGUAGUAAGUGGCAACACGAAUGGGGUGUCGUGUUGCAAUGAAUGGCGUGGGCUUAUGGGUUCUUUUACUCGUGAGUCAUGCUUACUGGGCUUAGGCGUUAACUAACAUUUGAGAGCAUGCGAUAAACAAAGAGACAAGUGGGUAUGUAUUGUGCUUUUAUGUAUAAUAAUACAAUAUCGCCUGCUAUGCAUGUGGAAUCUAUCUAAAGGUGCAGUUUACCCAUGAUCGAUGCUGGAAGGGGACGGGCUCGCGGAGAAAUGGGAGGCGUCGCAGAAUGUCGACACGCCAAAGUCCGUCUCGUCGGAGCUCCUGGCCCUGAAGUUCAUCGAUUUCGCGGGGGCCGACGAGUCCUCGGUCGGCCUUGAGGCCAUGGAGCUCUCUGGACCAAGGUGACCGGCGACGGCGACCAAUUUGAUCGCGUAGAUGCUUGCUUGUGCCUCAAUGGAUGUGUCGCGUUCGAUUAGCUUUGAAGAGACCGGGCAAAGGGAGAGGAGAGGUGGCAUUUUUUCCAUGUUGGAUAUGGUAAGGGUAGGGGGUGGUGGCAUUCAUUUGUACAUACGGAGGGCAUGGUCAUUGUGUAUUUGUGUGAGCUGAGCUCGGCCCAUCGUUGCUGCUCAUGUACAUGUAGGCUAAGAAAGAUGAGAUGUGAUGAGUUGAGUAAAUAUAGAAAGGAAAUUUU